CCUACGGGAGGCAGCAGUGAGGAAUAUUGGUCAAUGGGCGCGAGCCUGAACCAGCCAAGUAGCGUGAAGGAUGACUGCCCUACGGGUUGUAAACUUCUUUUAUAAAGGAAUAAAGUGAGGCACGUGUGCCUUUUUGUAUGUACUUUAUGAAUAAGGAUCGGCUAACUCCGUGCCAGCAGCCGCGGUAAUACGGAGGAUCCGAGCGUUAUCCGGAUUUAUUGGGUUUAAAGGGUGCGUAGACGGUCUGUUAAGUCAGUUGUGAAAGUUUGCGGCUCAACCGUAAAAUUGCAAUUGAUACUGGCAGUCUUGAGUACAGUUGAGGUAGGCGGAAUUCGUGGUGUAGCGGUGAAAUGCUUAGAGAUCACGAAGAACUCCGAUUGCGAAGGCAGCUUACUAAGCUGCCACUGACAUUGAUGCACGAAAGUGUGGGUAGCAAACAGGAUUAGAUACCCCUGUAGUC
rnacentral:rRNA from 1 species